GUGCUCACUUCAGCAGCACAUAUACUAAAGUUGGAAUGAUACAGAGAAUAUCAGCAUGGCCCCUAUGCAAGAACAGCACACCGAUUAUUUACUGACAAUCUCU